ensembl:lncRNA
GCCUGUUACCACCUGACGCUUCCACCGGCACCUGCGGCUAAGUGACGAAACCCAAAACAGAAAGAUUGAUCGAGAGCAGGACAGAAGAGUCCUCCCUGAGGAGUGGCCCCAGUGGAUCCCCAGAUUCCCACAGAAGAUUCAGACAGCGAGAGAGAGGAGCCUCCAACAACGAGUGGCGGCCCAAGGUACCUCCAGGUAUACUCACUCUUUCACACAUACUGGACACUUUAAUUCCACUUCAGUUUUGCCCAAUCUGAUACAGUGGCCUGAUAAUUCAUAAACAGGUAUGAGUCAUACCACUCACCGUCCUCAACUGGAGUAGAGUUGGAUGAAUGGCCUCAAAUCUAUAACGUUUUAAGCAGAUUAUAGUGUUCAGAUAAUCCAUUAG